rnacentral:ribozyme from 11 species
GAAUAAAAAGAAAGAAAGUAAAAAAGGAACAGAAGAAAAAAAAGGUGGAUCGAAAGAGUGAGGGGUGAUGGAGGGACGGAGCAUCCAAAGAUCUCUCUGUCAUUUUUGUAUCUGAGCAUGUUUAUC